GUGCAUGUGAUGUGUCCCAUCUCCCCUUCAGAUUGGAGAAGAAGCUGUGUCCCUCCCAUCAGACAGAGGGUCUCCUUAAAGAUUCUCCUGGUCUCCAGCUUGGGCUCUGCUGGAAAGAAGAGGAAGUAUUUAGCAACAAUGAAGGUGGGUUCUUACUUCCCUGAGGCAGCCAGAGAUAAGAAAAGACCGGAAUAUGAAUAUCCAGCAUUCCACAAAGAAUCCUACAGGCAGGGAUAUUGCCCAAUCCCCAGUGCCUCGCAUCCCAGCUCUAUCCAAGAUCCAAGCUUGAUAUCCUCCUGAAAGACUUCCUGAAUCAGGUCACCAACAUGGACAUCUGAACUUCCAGAAUCAGGUCACCAUCUUUCUUCUCAUCUCUGGAUGUAUUUGGAGCUCAUUUGUCUGACGGUUUUUGAAUGCUAAUUUUUUAAAAUAAACUUUUACAAUUUGGGUUUAA